CAAGGAAAUCUCACACCGGUAAAAGUGCGGAAACACCUGUCCAGGGUAAGAAAAAUUGUUACGACAGCUUGUUUCCCCCACACUUUCAUCAUUGGAGAUUUUCAAUGUAAGGAACACAACUCUGUAGUCGAAACGUUAUUCAAAUGAAAUCUAUUCAAGGGAAGAUAACAACAUUGUUGAAAUAGUAAUCGGGGGCAUGCAGGUGACUCUAAGUGUAUGGCUCAGUGAAUAUAGAAAUCAUUACCGGUGGGAGACUAUGGAUUGCUUUGCAAUGCUUUGCCAUUAUUUAGCCUUGAGCUUACAGUUCUGGUUUAUAUAGGAACGGGGGUAUUAGUUAGCCUUUAGCUUACUGUUCUGGUUUAAAUAGGAACGGGUGGUAUUAUUUAGCCUUUAGCUUACAGGUCUAGUUUAUAUAGGAACGGGGGGUAUUAGUUAGCCUUUAGCUUACAGUUCUAGUUUUCUUUAGUAGAGUCCUUGCAUACUAAUUGAUGCUUCUUGCUAGUAUAUAAUAAUAUUGAUCAAACUGUCUAUGAUACUUGUAGUUACCAAUUUCUGGUCAGUGUAAUUGUUGAUUGUAUUUGUUAGUUUUCUGGAAUAACAUCAGAGCUGCCUUCAUUAUGAUACACAUCUCCGAAUAGAGAAAAAUUUGACAAUCGUCAAACAGAUCUCGACCAUGUACAAUUUUAACAGGUACCGUCUACACCCUAGCGAGACACUGGUCAAUGCCUUUAUGUCAUUGCACAUCAUAGAGAACCAAUUAGAAACUCCUGACACAGUUGCUAUUGAGGAACAGACCAGACCCUGCAGAAUUAGGACACUCACUCUUAAAGGAACAGGUGGUCCUGAGGUUGAUUGUCUCCCCUGGGUCGAUGCAGUGUUGGAUCAAGUUGACCUUUCCUGUAGUCGGACUUCCUGGCAGACUUUAACCUGUUUGUGUGCUCCCUGUGCUGUUCCACCAACAACUCAAGUUUUCUCUUCUUGACAUCAGGUCAUGCAUUUUGUUGGCACUCAGGAACAAUGAGCGUGUCCACCAGUUGUCACUGUCACCCCCAGAGCACACCACAGAAUGCUGUUUACAUUUGGAGCAGUCACCGGAGUAGCACGAAACAGUCGCAUCAAGCACAGCGGAAAAUUACCUGGUAUGGAUGAGCUUGCGGUAACAGCUACGACUCGGAUGGACAUGGAUAUUCUACAAAUAACAGUAAAACUACAGGAGGUUGAGGAGGUGAAUGAUGGUCUGCGUUCAACCUGGAGGGCAUGGCAUGCAUUAUGGCCGAGUGUGGGCUUCAGAUCUAUAACAGAUUUCACGCCCUGAAGAGGCUCUGGGAUUCACAUCCAACUACCAACAGUGAUGUAUUUUCAUUGUAAUCAAUGUGCAUUCAGGUUGCCGCGGAGGAAUCAGGUACAGCUACAUUAUGUUAUUGACAUCGGCUGACCUUGGAGGAGGCUAGAAGGAGAAGUGCGGUGAUGGGAAAGGAGGAUACUAACUUGGGGAGACACCUUCAUGCCUAGUGUGAGGGUGUCUGCUUCAAUGGCCCUCCGUCAGGAGGAGGGAAGCUGUGCACCCGCGGUAGGAAGCCCAGAGGGGUGCUGCCCUCACAGUUCCGCAAGUCACAGUGGUGGGAGACCCAAGAGGUUCUGCCCCUUGGUCAUGGGCGUGGCUUGAUCCGUGAUCGGUCACGUUGGCUUCCCAGAAGGCCCAUCUCCCAGGAGUGGUACAAUCCUGUGGAUGUGAACUUUAAAGAGUUUGACAGUAAUUAGUUACAAGGGGGAUUAUCAUCAUGUUGUCAAUUUAUAUGUGCCCCACAAUUGUUGAACUAAAUGAUAUAUUUUGAGGUGUUAGUUGGUCGCCUCUAAGGGGAUUUCAAAAUAUGAUAUAAAUAUAAAUGUUAGUAUUAUUGAGAAUAAAUCGAUGUUGAUGUCAUUGAUAAACUGAAUUUUGAUUAUGAACCUGAUGUCUAUCUUGUUUGAAUAGUAUAUUUUUGGAAUUUAUAUAAAGUGGCAAUUGAAGAUUAAUCCUUCUGCGAGUGAAAUCUUAUGCAUAUGGGUUGAUACUUGUACCUGUGUGUCAGAAGAGUUGAUUGUGCUAACAUGGUGUGUAACUGUAUGUUGUGAAAUUGAUAGUGCACAAUAUUGUGAAUAGCUAGGGUGUUUUCCCAGAAAUAUAUACGUCUAUGUAAAUUGGAAUCUUUGUACAUUUUUCCAAUGAUUUCACCAUGUUGUAAAUAUUUGGUGAUUUUUAGCUCACAUGGCCCGAAUGUGAGCUUAUCCCAUGGUGCAGCGUCCGUC